AAACUCCUCAAUAUCAAAUCAUAAGCCCUAAUUUUUCCAUCUCUCAUCUCUACCUCCAUCUUCUCCUGUCUCCGCCCUGAUCCAUUCACUUCCAUCUUUUCCAUUGGCAAGCUCGGUGGUGCAAGAGGUCAUUGGGCAUCGCAUCCAGGACGUCGACCAGGCAAUCGUUGGCUAUGUCAUCAACGUCCUCACCAACGAGGACUUCGAUUUCGGUGUUGACGGCGAGGGAGCCUUUGAAGCUCUCGCAAUACUUCCUUCCCUUUCCCAUAAUAGAGCCAAAAUAAUCCAAACCCCAAACCGAUUCAUUCACCUCACACCGUCGAAAUUUAUAGUUGUCGUUGGGAGCAGCCAGUCUUGAGUCGCAGGUGGACAACAAUGGUGGCUGCUGUAACUACUUCUUAUUUCCUUCUCACUGCUGACUAUGGUACUGAACCAAAUGCUUUUGACCAAGUUUUAUGCAAAGCUACAGACUGAAACUGAGAUUGACUAUGGACCUUUCUUAUGAAACUAGUGGUGAUAUCCUUCUUUUUUACAUAUAAAUAUGUUUUUUUCCCUCAUGUUAUAUUAUUUCCUUGAUUCCUCUAUAAGCGUUCUUUCCUUAUAGAUUGACAAAGGGUACGUGUCACCUCAUUUCAUUAUGAAUAAGAAUAAAUCUCUGGUGGAGUUUGAAAAUGCUAGAGUUCUUGUGACUGCUCAAAAGAUAUCAACUGUGAAAGAUAUUGUGCCUUUGUUGGAAAAGACCGCCCAAUUGAGUGUUCCUCUAUUCAUUAUUGCUGAAAAAAUUUCAAGCCGAGUGCUGGAAACUCUUGUUGUCAACAAAAUGCGAGGGUUCAAGUCGUCAAAAAUAGGGAUGGUAUAGCUUACAUUCGCAGGCGAAGAGAGGUGGAGUCUACAGAUGUUUGAUAUGGUGUUUGUCUCUAGCCAUUUACUUAGCUUACAAGUUGUAAAUUAUCUUCUUUUAUACAAUAAUUUUUUGUUGUUUAAGAGGAGUGUAAGAUGAUGUUUAUUUGAUGGGCAAUAUGUAAAUCAAAAUUUUUCUUCGAUUUAUUACAGUGAUGUAUCUUGAUUA